UCCCAUGUGGUCUAGUGGUAAGGAUUCCUGGCUCUCACCCAGGCUCUCACCCAGGUUCGAUUCCCGGCAUGGGAU
rnacentral:tRNA from 1 species